GACGAACGCUGGCGGCGUGCUUAAUACAUGCAAGUCGAGCGAGGCCCAUCCAGUGGCAACACUGGGGAAGGCCGAGCGGCGAACGGGUGAGUAACACGUGAGCAACCUGCCCCGAAGUCUGGAAUAACAUCGGGAAACCGGUGCUAAUACCGGAUUGCCCCACCUGACCGCAUGAUCGGGUGAGGAAAGAUUUAUCGCUUCGGGAGGGGCUCGCGGCCUAUCAGCUAGUGGCGGGGUAACGGCCCACCAAGGCGUCGACGGGUAGCUGGUCUGAGAGGACGACCAGCCACACUGGGACUGAGACACGGUCCGGACUCCUACGGGAGGCAGCAGUGGGGAAUAUUGGACAAUGGGGGCAACCCUGAUCCAGCGACGCCGCAUGGGUGAAGAAGGCCUGCGGGUUGUAAACGU
rnacentral:rRNA from 1 species